AAACUAUCACUGAUACUGCUGGCAGUGUAUGAUAUAGCUCUCUUUGCUUUGUAUUUCUCAACAGGGUUAACUCGUAAUUACUAGGUAAACACAUCAGAGGCACAUCCAACACAAAUGGACAAAACUACUGGGUUCAAGGAGAGCGCUGGUCUACAGCACCCUCAGAAAUGAUUGCUGUUUGAAGUAUAUAUCCACUGAGCUGUUCAGAGGAUCUGCAGAAAAUUGAAGUGGAGGUUCAAGAGUCAAAGAGCUCUGAUUACAGACGGUCCCCAAGAAAGAUGGCAUGAGAAGAAGUCUGCAUUUUUCUUAAAAACACCAGAAUUGUAAUUAGUUUCAUUUCCUUAGCUCAACAGCUAGCAUUUGAUCUCUGAUAAAACCUCUAGUUAUUAUUUACCAUGCUGGGUUAAAGCAAAUUGCUUGGAUUUAAUUCUAUAUAUACUCACUGUCUUCAUAUAAUUGAAUGAAAAGUCAGUAAGGGAAUAUUUAUAAUCUGUAAGUGAUACCUAAUUAACAACAAAAGCUCUUGUCAAGAUAAUCACCAGGGGGUUUUCAAAC